AGGUGAGCCAGUACAGGAUGGACCCGCGUCUGAUUAGCUAGUUGGUAAGGUAACGGCUUACCAAGGCGACGAUCAGUAGCCGACCUGAGAGGGUGAUCGGCCACAUUGGAACUGAGACACGGUCCAAACUCCUACGGGAGGCAGCAGUGGGGAAUAUUGCACAAUGGGCGAAAGCCUGAUGCAGCAACGCCGCGUGAGUGAUGAAGGCCUUCGGGUCGUAAAACUCUGUCCUCAAGGAAGAUAAUGACGGUACUUGAGGAGGAAGCCCCGGCUAACUACGUGCCAGCAGCCGCGGUAAUACGUAGGGGGCUAGCGUUAUCCGGAUUUACUGGGCGUAAAGGGUGCGUAGGCGGUCUUUCAAGUCAGGAGUGAAAGGCUACGGCUCAACCGUAGUAAGCUCUUGAAACUGGGAGACUUGAGUGCAGGAGAGGAGAGUGGAAUUCCUAGUGUAGCGGUGAAAUGCGUAGAUAUUAGGAGGAACACCAGUUGCGAAGGCGGCUCUCUGGACUGUAACUGACGCUGAGGCACGAAAGCGUGGGGAGCAAACAGGAUUAGAUACCCUGGUAGUCCACGCUGUAAACGAUGAGUACUAGG
rnacentral:rRNA from 1 species